rnacentral:lncRNA from 10 species
GGUCAUGUGCAGCCUAUUCCCUGCAUGAACUGCACUUGAUAUGUGACUAAAGACAAGGAUGUUAAGAAGUUUAUCAUUCAAAAUAUGGUAGAAGCCACAGCUAUCAGGGACAUAGCUGAAGCCAGUGUCUUUGAUGUCUAUGUGCUUCCCAAGCUGUUUGUGAAGCUACAUUACUGCAUGAGUUGCACCAUUCACAGCAAGGUAGUCCAGAAUCAAUCUCGUGAAGCCGGUAAGGACCAAACACCCCAACCCUGAUUUAGACCUGUGGGUGCUGCCCACCAACCUCCACCAAAGCCU